rnacentral:rRNA from 1 species
CAGGCCUAACACAUGCAAGUCGAACGAGGGCUUCUGUCCUAAUGGCGCACGGGUUAAUUACCCGUUGAAACCUGCCCUGUGGUACGGAAUAACUCCGGGAAACUGGAUCUAAUACCGUAUGUGUCUUGAGGGACAAAGAUUUAUCGCCAUGGGAUGGGCCCCCGUUCGAUUAACUUGUUGGUGGGGUAACUGCCUAACCAGGGAACGAUCCUUAACUGGUCUGAAAAGAUAAUCAGCCACACUGGGAAUGAAACACGGGCCAUAAUCCUACGGGAGGGAGCAGUGGGGAAUAUUGGACAAUGGGCGCAAGCCUGAUCCAACCAUGCCGCGUUAGUGAUGAAAGGCUUCGGGUUGUAUAGCUCUUUCGCACGCGACAAUGAUGACGGUAGCGUGAGAAGAA